AAAUUGAAGAGUUUGAUCAUGGCUCAGAUUGAACGCUGGCGGCAGGCCUAACACAUGCAAGUCGAGCGGCAGCGGGAAAGUAGCUUGCUACUUUUGCCGGCGAG
rnacentral:rRNA from 3 species